GCCUGUUCGAGCGUCAUUAUGACCACUCAAGCCUAGCUUGGUAUUGGGGUUCGCGGUCUCGCGGCCCUUAAAAUUAGUGGCGGUGCAUCUGGCUCUAAGCGUAGUAAUUUAUCUCGCUAUUGGGUCUGGUGGUUGCUUGUCAAUAACCCCCAACUUUUAAGGUUGACCUCGGAUCAGGUAGGGAUACCCGCUGAACUUAG
rnacentral:misc_RNA from 1 species